rnacentral:rRNA from 1 species
UACGAAGGGGGCUAGCGUUGUUCGGAAUUACUGGGCGUAAAGCGCGCGCAGGCGGUCUUCCAAGUCAGUGGUGAAAGCCCGGAGCUCAACUCCGGAACUGCCAUUGAAACUGUUAGACUUGAGGAUGAGAGAGGUGAGUGGAAUUCCCAGUGUAGAGGUGAAAUUCGUAGAUAUUGGGAAGAACACCGGUGGCGAAGGCGGCUCACUGGCUCAUUACUGACGCUCAGGCGCGAUAGCGUGGGGAUCAAACGGG